CACACGUUCUCAGUGUCCCGGCAAGAAACUCUCAUAAGAGCGGGAAGAAGGCCAGAGAAGGCCAAAGCCUUCAGACAGAGGCUUUGUAGCAAAGCUCCGGGGGAGGGAGAGAAAUGAAGCAAUUGCCCUGGGCAUACUGGGCAAGUGACUCAGCACGCCUGCAGGAGAGAAGCAGCUUGCAAUUCCAGAGGAGUUAAGGUUGGUGCUACCAUGGGGUUGGUGAAGAGGAAAAAGGAAGGUUCACUUCUCAAGAAAAAGCACAUGGUCUGGUGUGCAAAGAUGGAAUUGGGGCCUUCUCCAUCCAGGAAUUUCCGGUUUCUCUGUACACGCCUAGGGUUAAAGUCUGUGAAAAAGCAAAUGCCCAGCAGGUGGCAGCACCAGAUAACAGCAGUGAAAACAAGGCUCAGACGGUAGGCUCUUUGGAGGCAGGAACCAAUCCUGCUAAAAAGGAUUCCUUGCACACGUGUCACAUGACUGAUCAUAAUCACAGCAGAAGGAAACUCAAGAAAUCACCCAUAUAGUCCCUGCCCUUGGGACCAAUGAGUGGUGCAAUCCUGAUACAUACUCCAGAGAGACUUGCUGAUUUGAUAAAGAAGAUAAAAAGGAACCUGCAACACUCUCAGGGAGCUGUAUUGAGAACACUUGUUUUCAGACUACCUAAUCCUGGUUUUUCAACCAGGCAGUGCCACGAGUCAGCCCCAGUUUUGCUCGGUUAGCACAGUUAGCAAGAACCAAAACAAACCUGAUCAACUGGAUUGUAAGUCCUGAGCCUGGUUGGCCAAGAAGAAUAGGCAGAUGUUGCUGAUACAGAAUCGAAGAGUAUGCAGGCAGCUGAUCCAACACAGAAUCAAAGAGUUGGGAUGUUGUACUGGAAAUUGCAUCAGAUUUGCUGUCAAGACAUAAGUCUGAAUCUCCAUUCUCUAGUGUGGACUUUGAGCAAAUCACUCAAUUUCCCUAUGAUGCUGUUUCCUGUGACCUCAAACAGAAGACUCUAUUUCUCUCAGAUUCAAGUUCCUGUGAAAAAAUUGAAAUAUAAAGGUAUUGUGAGGAUAAAAUGAGAU
ensembl:lncRNA